AGAUUGCAAAGGAUGCCAAAGAAUGCGUUCAGGAGUGUGUGAGUGAGUUUAUAAGCUUCAUAACAUCUGAAGCAAGUGAGCGCUGUCACCAGGAGAAGCGGAAGACCAUCAACGGGGAGGACAUUCUGUUCGCCAUGUCCACUCUCGGCUUCGACAGCUACGUGGAGCCUCUGAAACUGUACCUCCAGAAGUUCAGAGAGGCCAUGAAGGGAGAGAAGGGCAUUGGUGGGGCCGUGUCUGCUACAGAUGGACUCAGCGAGGAGCUCACGGAAGAGGCAUUCAGUAAGCUCGGCACUGCCGCUGGGGAGCCCUCACCGUGGGCAGUGUGCUGAGCCGUGUGUCUGUUUCUAUGACCAUAAAAGUUUAUGUCCUUGUUUGAAGUCAG
rnacentral:lncRNA from 1 species